GAAGAGGUGACCGAGAGGUUUAAGGUGUUGGUUUGCUAAACCAAUGUAUAUUUAUUACAAAGUAUACCAUGGGUUCAAAUCCCAUCCUCGUCG
rnacentral:tRNA from 1 species